rnacentral:rRNA from 1 species
UACGUAGGGGGCUAGCGUUGUCCGGAAUCAUUGGGCGUAAAGAGCGUGUAGGCGGCCCGGUAAGUCCGCUGUGAAAGUCGGGGGCUCAACCCUCGAAUGCCGGUGGAUACUGUCGGGCUAGAGUGCGGAAGAGGCGAGUGGAAUUCCUGGUGUAGCGGUGAAAUGCGCAGAUAUCAGGAGGAACACCGGCGGUGUAGACGGCUUUCUGGACCGUAGCUGACGCUGAGACACGAAAGCGUGGGUAGCAAACAGG